CCUACGGGAGACAGCAGUCGAGAAUCAUUCACAAUGGGGGAAACCCUGAUGGUGCGACGCCGCGUGGGGGAAUGAAGGUCUUCGGAUUGUAAACCUCUGUCAUGUGGGAGCAAAUUAAAAAGAUAGUACCACAAGAGGAAGAGUCGGCUAACUCUGUGCCAGCAGCCGCGGUAAUACAGAGGUCUUAAGCGUUGUUCGGAAUCACUGGGCGUAAGGCGUGCGUAGGCUGUUUCGUAAGUCGGGUGUGAAAGGCGCGGGCUCAACCCGCGGACGGCACAUGAUACUGCGAGACUAGAGUAAUGGAGGGGGAGCCGGAAUUCGCGGUGUAGCAGUGAAAUGCGUAGAUAUCGAGAGGAACACUCAUGGCGAAGGCGGGUUCCUGGACAUUAACUGACGCUGAGGCACGAAGGCCAGGGGAGCGAAAGGGAUUAGAUACCCCAGUAGUC
rnacentral:rRNA from 1 species